rnacentral:rRNA from 1 species
GAUGAACGCUGGCGGCGUGCCUAAUACAUGCGAGUCGAGCGAACAGACGAGGAGCUUGCUCCUCUGACGUUAGCGGCGGACGGGUGAGUAACACGUGGAUAACCUACCUAUAAGACUGGGAUAACUUCGGGAAACCGGAGCUAAUACCGGAUAAUAUAUUGAACCGCAUGGUUCAAUAGUGAAAGACGGUUUUGCCGUCACUUAUAGAUGGAUCCGCGCCGCAUUAGCUAGUUGGUAAGGUAACGGCUUACCAAGGCAACGAUGCGUAGCCGACCUGAGAGGGUGAUCGGCCACACUGGAACUGAGACACGGUCCAGACUCCUACGGGAGGCAGCAGUAGGGAAUCUUCCGCAAUGGGCGAAAGCCUGACGGAGCAACGCCGCGUGAGUGAUGAAGGUCUUCGGAUCGUAAAACUCUGUUAUUAGGGAAGAACAAAUGUGUAAGUAACUAUGCACGUCUUGACGGUACCUAAUCAGAAAGCCACGGCUAACUACGUG